rnacentral:rRNA from 1 species
UACAGAGGUCCCAAGCGUUGUUCGGAUUCACUGGGCGUAAAGGGUGCGUAGGCGGUCGGGUAAGUCUGAUGUGAAAUCUCACAGCUUAGCUGUGAAACUGCAUUGGAUACUAUUCGGCUUGAGAGUUGGAGGGGGGACUGGAAUUCUUGGUGUAGCAGUGAAAUGCGUAGAUAUCAAGGGGAACACCAGUGGCGAAGGCGAGUCCCUGGACAACUUCUGACGCUGAGGCACGAAAGCUAGGGGAGCAAACAGG